rnacentral:lncRNA from 1 species
UUCAUAUGCCAGAUGAAUCACGAGAUGCUCCAUCGAGUUGAAGAAAUUAGAAGAAAAUUUCUUCUCCAACUUACAUAUAGUCUCUAUAUUGCUAGCCUCAAGACUGGAGAUGUGGUCAACGAAUAGUUCGGUAGCAUCAAUAUCUUUGAAAAAAAGACUAAGCUUGAUAAAAAAACUCCAUAUAGAGUUAGGAAGAAGAUCACACCAAGCCAAUGGG